AUGCUCGCUUUGGCAGCACAUAUACUAAAAUUGGAACGAUAUAGAGAGGAUUAGCAUGGUCCCUGUGCAAGAAUAACUUCUGACUUCUUACAUAGUACAAACUGAA